ACACACAUAAGACUUAAAACGAUUUCAGUGAAGGAUAAAGAAAAAAUCAAAAAGCUUAAUAAUGGGACGAUAUUGCUUAUUUAGUAUAGAUAAUAUUUUAAGGAAGAACUCUAUGUCAGAGUCGAGUUUCCAAGCUAAUACUUCGAGUGUAGAAAACACAUCAGCAAAAAUUAUAGCGAGAAGUAUGUAUCCCCUUUUUAUGUACAUAUUAUACCCUUGAAGUAAGUAAAUGUGAAAAAGAGUUUUUCGGCACAGAAUAAAUCACCGCACUCUAUUUGUAAAUUUACAAUGAGGAAUGCUCUAGUGAAUAAAGAAAUGCACCAGAUUUUCGUCCUUUGUUGCGGCAAAGGGGGGGUAACUCCACUUGUUACAGUGUGAUAACACAGCAGUCUGAAUGCAAAAUAUAGUUUCUCCAUCUCUUAUAGUCUCUAAGUACCAAGUUCUCAUCAAAACGGACAGACGGACAGAAUAUGACUAUUGAUGCUCUUUUGAUUAACCAUCACCACAACUGACAAUCUUUUACAUAUAUAAAAACAUUUAUUUACGUAGUCGACGAGCAUUUGGUUAAUAUCGUAUAACGAUAUCAUGGCAGUUCUUUUAUACUCAUUCGAUAUACAUAUGUAUAAAUAAGUUAUAAUAUAGUAACUGAUUAUAAAUCCUUUUUAUACAGGGGUACCAGAGUGAUCGCUUGAAUUUUUUCUCAGUUUCAUUCAGCGGUGCCAAACAUGAACUUUUACUCCAUUGCCAAAUAUCUUACUAAUGUUUCACCUAUUUAUUUGAUUAAAAACACCCAAAAAACAUAUUUAUAAAAUUACUUAAAUUACUUUCCCAUAAGGGAUUUUAAUUUACUGAUUUUGCUCACAGUCAGCCAGAGUCCGAAUGUGUGCCACCUAGAUCGAUUCGGAUUUUCAAAGUUGAACUUUGUGAAUUAGUGCCACUUUUUUUAAGCCGAAUUCGGAUUAAGGUUAUAUCUACAUAUAUCUAUAUUAAAUGUAUAUAUAUAUAAUUCUUUUUUAUUUCCGGUAUUCGAAGAAUAAACAGGGUAUAUUGUAUAUGUGUUUAAAAGCCGAUGUAUGUAAUGCAGAAAAGGAAACGUUUAAACCCCACAAAGUACAUAUAUUCUUGAUCAGCGUCAAUAGCCGAGUCGAUAUACCCAGGUCUGUCUGUCCAUCCAUCCUUCCGUCUAUCCGUCCGUCUGUCCGUCCGUCCGUCCGUCUCGUUGAGCGCCUAUUUUUUUCGACUUUUCCUAAGUUUUUAAAGUCAACAUUUCGAAUAAAAUGCCUCACAAAAGUCAACAUUUUUGCAUUUCAAGGCUUAAUAUUUUUCGAAUGGUAAGCUAAAACCACAAAGUGUUUGGGUAUACAUACAUAAGAGAUGCAUUCAUCAGCUCUAUAGAAUGGCUAAAUUCAGUACAACCGUAUGUAAGAUGCUUAAGAUAUGUGAAAAAAAGAAGCGCAACCUCUAAAAAAAACCGUUAGAAAAAAAUACCAGACUUUAAAAAUAUUUUGAAAAAGUUCUGCCAUAGAAAAAAAACUAUGUUUCUUUAAACAAUUUCUUAAGCCCACAGAACAAGUUGGUUUGCUUCGAAGCGGAAAAAUUAAGUUCGAUUUUGUCGAGUAGUGAAAUUGAAUGUGUUCAAUAUUAAUUAAUAUUUCUUAAUUCAAUUUUUUGCAGGAGGAAAUGAUUCCUUGCACUUGUUGAGCUCUGUAAAUAGUAAAGAGAUUGAAGCCUAUGAAAAGUUUAUGGGGGAUUGUGGAAAACUCAACAUUCCUCUUACUUACGACUCCAUGAACUCAUCAUAUUUUCAGCAUAAGCCCCAAACUGCUAAUUGGCUGAAGAUCGUAACUGUGCAAGGUAAAUUAUUGAUUGUCACCUAUCACAAUUACUUACUACACUUUUAUUAAAUUAACAGGAAAUCAAUUUAAAAAAAAAUGUGUUGACAGAAAGCCACGACAAGCAUAUAGUUCAAAGCAGCUGGACCGGCUUGAACAUGAGUUUAAGCUUGAUAAAUACCUGAGCGUUAGCAAACGUAUAGAGCUAUCUCGAUCAUUACUUUUGACGGAGGCUCAAAUAAAAACUUGGUUUCAAAAUCGUAGAACAAAGUGGAAGAAACAACUAACAUCACGCCAAAAACCAUUUCAAAGUCCAGAAUUAUACAAUAUUACAAUUAAUAUCCCCAACUAUAAAUCCGUAAUAACUCAUUCAUCCUAUGAACAAGCUACUCGUAUUUACACUGCACGUCAAUUUUGCCAAAUUAAAUCUGAAAUAGACUCCUACGGCAAUAACAAGGAAUAAAAUUAGAAGGGACGUGUGAGACGCUUCUUAAGCGUCACAACUUUAAUACACGGCACUCAGUACUACAUCUGUACCUUGGCGGUUAUUUGUCAAAUUUUAAAUAUUUUCCUCAUCUGUCAUCUACAGUUGUGUUCAAUGAAAUAGUAGUGACAGACCUCCUCACAUUCAAAGACUUUUUUGAGACACUCCCAGACUUUCAAUUUAAAUGAAUGAUAGAUUUUUGAAUAGAGAUUAAUGUAGGCUUUAGAAAAUCAAAGAAAUCCCUACACAUUUGCAUUCCAUCUUCUUGUUUUUCAUAACUUUUGACGGAUACCCUUGAAAUAGUCUGUGUAUAUUGAAAUAGUAGUGCUGAGUGCAAGUACUUAAAAAAAUAAUUUAAAAAAAACCAAAAAAUUCGAAAAAGUUACCCU
rnacentral:lncRNA from 1 species